CGCUCUCUCUCUCUCUCUCUCUCUCUCUCUCUCUAGGGUUUGGUGGUGGAAGGGGAGGAAAGAAGGGAGGAAGACACCGACAUGGGCUGUCAACGGUGACCCUCUAUACUCGUUUUACUCCUCUCGUUUCGUCUAUUAUGAAUCUAAUUUUUCUAAAUAUAAAUAUGAAAAAACUCGGCUUUGAUGGUGCGAUGCCUCGCGGAUAAAUAUAAAAAAGGCGCACCUGGUGUGGGCAAUUUUCUGGGAAGCUUAGGGGUUAAGGCUGCUACACGUCGUUUAUCGGAUGGAUUAAUCGACUGACGAUGCGGACGUCCA
rnacentral:lncRNA from 1 species